AACGAACGCUGGCGGCAUGCCUAACACAUGCAAGUCGAACGAGAUCUUCGGAUCUAGUGGCGCACGGGUGCGUAACGCGUGGGAAUCUGCCCUUUGCUUCGGAAUAACAGUUAGAAAUGACUGCUAAUACCGGAUGAUGUCUUCGGACCAAAGAUUUAUCGGCAAAGGAUGAGCCCGCGUAGGAUUAGGUAGUUGGUGGGGUAAAGGCCUACCAAGCCGACGAUCCUUAGCUGGUCUGAGAGGAUGAUCAGCCACACUGGGACUGAGACACGGCCCAGACUCCUACGGGAGGCAGCAGUGGGGAAUAUUGGACAAUGGGCGAAAGCCUGAUCCAGCAAUGCCGCGUGAGUGAUGAAGGCCUUAGGGUUGUAAAGCUCUUUUACCCGGGAUGAUAAUGACAGUACCGGGAGAAUAAGCUCCGGCUAACUCCGUGCCAGCAGCCGCGGUAAAGUGACUACUG
rnacentral:rRNA from 1 species